AACGAACGCUGGCGGCAUGCCUAACACAUGCAAGUCGAACGAGACCUUCGGGUCUAGUGGCGCACGGGUGCGUAACGCGUGGGAACCUGCCCUUAGGGUCGGAAUAACUCCCCGACAGGGGUGCUAAUACCGGAUAAUGUCUUCGGCCCAAAGAUUUAUCGCAUUUGGAUGGGCAAGCGUUGGAUUAGCUAGUUGGUAGGGUAAAAGCCUAACAAGGCGACGAUCCAUAGCUGGUCUGAGAGGAUGAUCAGCCACACUGGGACUCAGACACGGCCCAGACUCCUACGGGAGGCAGCAGUGGGGAAUAUUGGACAAUGGGCGAAAGCCUGAUCCAGCAAUGCCGCGUGAGUGAUGAAGGCCGUAGGGUUGUAAAGCUCUUUUACCCGGGAUGAUAAUGACAGUACCGGGAGAAUAAGCCCCGGCUAACUCCGUG
rnacentral:rRNA from 1 species